rnacentral:rRNA from 1 species
UUGUUUGGAGAGUUUGAUCCUGGCUCAGGACGAACGCUGGCGGCGUGCUUAACACAUGCAAGUCGAACGGAAAGGUCUCUUCGGAGAUACUCGAGUGGCGAACGGGUGAGUAACACGUGGGUGAUCUGCCCUGCACUUCGGGAUAAGCCUGGGAAACUGGGUCUAAUACCGGAUAGGACCACGGGAUGCAUGUCUUGUGGUGGAAAGCGCUUUAGCGGUGUGGGAUGAGCCCGCGGCCUAUCAGCUUGUUGGUGGGGUGACGGCCUACCAAGGCGACGACGGGUAGCCGGCCUGAGAGGGUGUCCGGCCACACUGGGACUGAGAUACGGCCCAGACUCCUACGGGAGGCAGCAGUGGGGAAUAUUGCACAAUGGGCGCAAGCCUGAUGCAGCGACGCCGCGUGGGGGAUGACGGCCUUCGGGUUGUAAACCUCUUUCAGUAGGGACGAAGCGAAAGUGACGGUACCUACAGAAGAAGGACCGGCCAACUACGUGCCAGCAGCCGCGGUAAUACGUAGGGUGCGAGCGUUGUCCGGAAUUACUGGGCGUAAAGAGCUCGUAGGUGGUUUGUCGCGUU